UGAUGAUUUUCACUUACAUAGAGUACUAAUUUGAUUAAGGAAAAAUCAUGUUCAUUCAUAAUUUUCAUUUUAAAAGUGUAUUCAUUCCUUCUGCAAAUCCAUACUGUCAUGCCUAUUCCCCAAUAUCGUCAACGCGGAUAGUUCGUUAGUCGAAAAUACUGAAUAAUUAAACAAACCAAAUGGCAUCACUGGUGGUUCUUUUUUCCACUCCGCUAAACUGUCAUCUCAAACAAAAACAAAUGGAUCAUACAACUGCUAUGAAUGCAUUCGACUCGUUUGCUUCCAUCAAUCGGUAAGAAAAAAAGAUGAUGAUGAAAAAUGAUUUCUCCCAUCACCACAGUGCGGAUGAAAAGAUGAUUUCUCCCAUCACCACAGUGCGGAUUUCCACUUCUAUCACAGCAGCCAACAACAUCCGUUUUCCUGCAGCAGUAACCUCCAACCCCUGUUGGCAAUGCCGGCGGACAGCAUCAACAGCAGCAGCAGCAGAAUUUGACCAUGGUAUGGUAUUGCGAAGAACUUUCCCCAUUUACCCAUUCCGUGCUUCGCGCACAUUCAAAAAUCCUCUUCAGACACGAAAACUCAACGACAAGGAGGUAUUUAUCAACUUGCUCAGCUGAAUUACCACCCCGGAGGAACCCGAAUGCACUGAUUCCGUAGUAUAGUAGAAUGAAAAUAGGCGAGGUAAGCGAACGCAAUCGCAUGAAAUUUUAAUGUUCGCAUUUUUAUCCGGAUCAUACAACUGCUAUGAAUACAUCCGACUCAAUCAAUCGGCGAGUGAGAAAGAUGAUUUCCCUCAUCACCACAUUGUUUAUUUCCUCUUCUGUCACACCAGCCAACAGCAUCAGCUUUCCCGCAGCAGUAUCCUUUAAGUCCAGGGUGCUAUUCCGGGGAACAGCAUCAACAGCAACAGCAGCAGAACCUGGCCAUCGAUAGUAUUUCGAGCAAUUUUCCCCAUCGGAGAUCCCGUGCUUCACGCACAUUGAAGAAUCCUCAGCCACAUAUCUGUGUCAUCAAGGGCAAGGAGGUAUUCAUCAAUGUACUCAGUCGGAUUUGAAUCGUCAAUCCAGACAACCCGGGUGCACCGAUUCCAUUAUAUACAUUAUUAUUUUUAUUAUACAUGGAUUUUUAUUAUUUUUUUCAAUAAAAUGAUUAACAUCGA